UACGAAGGGGGCUAGCGUUGCUCGGAAUCACUGGGCGUAAAGCGCACGUAGGCGGAUUGUUAAGUCAGGGGUGAAAUCCUGGAGCUCAACUCCAGAACUGCCUUUGAUACUGGCAAUCUCGAGUCCGGGAGAGGUGAGUGGAACUGCGAGUGUAGGGGUGAAAUUCGUAGAUAUUCGCAAGAACACCAGUGGCGAAGGCGGCUCACUGGCCCGGUACUGACGCUGAGGUGCGAAAGCGUGGGGAGCAAACAGG
rnacentral:rRNA from 1 species